rnacentral:misc_RNA from 1 species
ACCCCCACCAUAUUACAGAGAACCCUCUUCCCCCAGAUUUUUGGCCCUAAGAGGUAAAAUAACGUACCUAUGAAUAGAGAAGGUCCCCAGCUAUGCAAAAAUAUAUAAGAUAAAAACAACAGCUUACAAAGAAAAAAAAAGGAAGUUUUUCUUUUUUUUUUUUAAUUUUUUGUCUUUUUAAUUCCUAAGGAGCGUUUGCUACCAACCCCAUAUGCAGAUUCCCCUUCAUUUUUCCUUCAGGACAUCUACUGAACUAUUCAUGGCUACCUUGCUUUUGUCUUUGCUAAUAUCAUUUGGANNNUUUGGAGUGGGCCCUGUUAACUGUGUUAUAAGAUACGUUUUAUAACCCAUAAAAAAAUGGGUCACUGUUGCAACUCUCUAAACUUCUUGCAGAAGACUCAACUUGAGAAUUGAAACUGCAUUCUAUCGAUCUCACGGCAAUGUACCAAAGAUUUCAAGGAUAUUUUCCUGAUGACUUCCAGAUUCUUCCUUC